ensembl:lncRNA
CAUUGGAGGCGUUCAGAUACCAUGGUGAUGGGGGACUUCAUGAAUAACGAGAUAGAUAAAUGGCUGAGAUAAACAAUAUAUGCUUCCUGAAUUCCUCUUGGAAGAAGAGUCCCUUACAGCACAGCUAAAUUACACAGCCCGAGGGCAUGAAAUUGGAGUUCUCUUACUCUGCUUUCAACAAGAAAGAAAGGGACCGUACGAUACUUUUAAACUGAUGGUGAAAAAAUGAGCACUAGCACACAUAUCUGGAGCAGAUCCCUUGGAUUGGCUUCCCUUCCAGCAUGGAAGGGAAAAUACACUGGUUAUCAGGAAAGAUGUAGAGCAGUGAGAGGCAGCAAUUUCGUCAAGGAAUUCUGGUGGAAGAGGAAACCCUGCUCCCUGCUCAGAGGACUCACAUGGCAGAGAAAAAAUAUUUUGCUUUUUCUCCAGGGAACCUGCAAUAGGUCUCCAAGAGAACCCAGAGGAUACUGCUCAGGGGGGGAAAUGUUUUGUCCUCGGACUGACAGUUCAUAGUUCAUAGAAUAGUCUGGGUUGAAAAGGGCCACAAUGAUCAUGCAGUUUCAAUCCCCCUGCUAUGUGUAGGGUCACCAACCACCAGACCAGGCUGCCCAGAGCCACAUCCAGCCUGGCCUUGAAUGCCUCCAGGGAUGGGGCAUCCACAACCUCCUUGGGCAACCUGUUCCGGUGCGUCACCACCCUCUGAGUGAAAAACUUCCUCCUAAUAUCUAGCCUAAACCUUCCCUGUCUCAGUUUAAAACCAUUCCCCCUUGUCCUAUCACUAUUCACCCUCGUAAAUAGCCGUUCCCCCUCCUGUUUAUACGCUCCCUUCAAGUACUGGAAGGCCGCAAUGAGGUCUCCCUGGAGCCUUCUCUUCUCCAAGCUGAACAAUCCCAGUUCCCUCAACCUUUCCUCAUAGGAGAGGUGCUCCAGCCCUCUGAUCCUUUCAGUGUCCAGGCAUUGGUAGACAUCCUGCUGUGGAGGGGAUAGCUGGUAUGGUGGGCUGUGACCCCAUAUCUCCAGCACCGGGUGGAUUGACACAGCAAGCUUGCUUUAAAUGCCCCCACAGGAAUGGUGUUCACUUUUCCCAAGCCAAAAUUUAUGCUCUUGUGAUGAGGACCAGAGAUGUGAAAGGAAAGGGUAGGCCAGAGAGGAGGCAGGGGAAUACAGGGAAACCGGAGCUGAUUACACACUGGCAGAAGAGUAAUAAUGUCUCCACCUGGCAAUGUGACAGGGAUCAUCUUUUAACCGCAGCCAGGAUGAGGGAGACUGUUGCAAAGGACUGACUCAAGCUGUUUUCUUCCAGACUUAAACCUGGCCAGGUGCAAAAACAGGAAUGCCUAUCACAAACCCAGGUAGUAAUGCUCUUACACACAGCACUCAUGUAUUCGGUGAUUUCAUGGCUGUGGCAUUUGCUGAAAAGUAGCUUCAUUUCUGCAGUCCUCUAGGUUGCUUAGAAGAGCUCCUUAACGUGAGUGAAAUUCAAACCAAGACCUGUGGGCCCAGGGUAGUUCCUGGGAAUUUUGAGCUGCGCUCAGCUAUCCCAGCAGGCACAGGCCUUCUCUGUGUCACUGGCAAAGAUCGAGCUGACAGCACGUGAGCAGAAACAGCCACCUGAUGGGAAGCCAUGGCUGACUGCCAGGGUGGGAGAUGCAGGCCUCAAGUUCCUCCCUUAAAAACACAACAACCCCGCUCUCCUCACUACAUAGAGAUAACAAAAACGGCAGCAGCCUCGGGAGAGUAAAACCCUGAGCAGGACUGGCUGCCCAGCCGCGUGUCGGCCGUGUCUGUCAGAGGGACAUCUACACCAUAGUUAUAGUUAGACAUCUCUGUUACAGUCUGAGCUGGUCAGACAUUAACUGCAAAUAGCUUUGUGGGGCAAAACAGAAAUUGCUCUGAACGUGUUGCAGUUUUACCCAAUUUUGUAAGCAUUUCUACUGGUCCUCAAUUCUAACACUGUGUGAGUUACAGAUGCCUUGAGUCUUAUGGUCUUACGGUCCCACGUACAUCAUCUCACCAGAAGACUAGGACUCACAUCUGAGUCUCCUUCAAUCAGCUUUCCCGGACCACAGUGAAGAAAUUGGGCCAGCCUCUGUGUUACCAUCACAUCCAUCCACCUCUGCACAUAGCAAUACCUGCAACAGCCUGCUCCAGCCCCUGAUCCUCUUCCAAGGUACCACAAGCAAGGGAAGGGCAAUCAGCAAUAUUUCCUUUGCAAAGCCUGAAAGAACCGGGAGCAGAUUGUGACAGCGACAGUCACGGCCUCCCAGGUUGCUCCCUCCUUAGGUCAUGUGCUGCCCCUGACCUAGGGCAAAGUCACGGCUAAGCCCUUCGUUCCCUUAUUAUUAAUUAAAACUUUGGAUGAAAUCCUCAGCUGGAGUAAAUGCUCAUUGCUCCUGGCCCUCACCCACUGGUUUUUGAAAGCAUACAGAAGUAGCCACAAUUCUGUCAUUAAAACUCAACUGGGAUCACACUUUUGUUGUCAAAUAAAUAAGUAUCACUGCAUCCCAUUUAGCUCUGCUAAUGCCACAUUAGAAAUAGCAUGUGUUUAACAAAACCAUGCUUUCCCCUUUUUCAAAAAGCCAUAAAUGAAGCAUUAAAAGUCCCAAUCCAUCACGGUGACAUCAGAUCAGUGGACCGUGACUUUUAUGACAUCAGAGCAAUUGAUUAUAUGACUCUUUUAUGUGUAGCCCGCUAUGCAGAGAUUGCUCUUCUCUCCAUAUAUUACAUCCUAACAUCCUGGAAUAAUCUCUAGAGAUAAAAGGGAAUCACUGUGAAGCGGUGAAGUACAGUAGUUACAGAAUUGCCAUAAAGCUGUCAUAAAAAUUGUAGAAACAGAAAUGCCUUUAAAGAUGGCACUGUUCCAUUAUGGGUCCCUAGCUAACAGUCUACAGUUGCCCUAUGCACACCUCACUAUAUUUACUGCUUCUGGAUAUUCCUGUGCCUUUUUCCCAGAAGCUUCUGUGGCUACCAAGAUGUGCAAGGCUGUUUGCAUGCAUACUGCAAGUUCCUCCAUCCUGUUACAUCAUCGCUAACAGAACUGGUGCUUUUGCAAUAGGCUACAGGCAAGGCUUCAAAAUAGCUUCAAAUAGCCAGGAAGAAGCUGACAGCGAAUGGAAGGUGUGAGCUGUUGGUUGCCAUGAAAUUGCUGAAAGACAGAUAUUCUGUGGUGCUUAUAAAGAAAAGUGCUGUUAAAAUUAAAUUUGAGGUACAUAAUAAAUAGUUCUUUCUUGCUGAA